rnacentral:misc_RNA from 1 species
GGAUAAGGCACUCGUCUUCUUUUGCUCUACGAACAAACAUCACUUCGGGAUCAGGGAUAAUCCAUGGUUUCAAAUAUCUAUCACCUAUGGACCUUGACAUUGCAAGAACACCGAAAACUCGAGAACCAUUCCACUGUAUGAUCUUGCCUCCUGCUGCCUCUAUCCUUGCAUAUUCAUCUUCUCUGUCUGGUUUGUGAUCUUCUGACAAUGGCAUAGCUACUUUUCCACGACACAGAACUGCUCUCGAGUCGCCACAAUUUGCAACAAUAAUGUAAGUUGGACAAACAAUGGCAACCACUGCAGUUGAACCAACAGUUUCAGGGGCAAUCGGUUCAAUUUGAGCCUCAGACUCAGAGUGAUAACCAUUACUUCCUGUGAUGCCCCUGCAUGAUCCUCCUGUCUCAGCAUCAACUUUCAGAAAACAAUUUAAGAAGGAUUUCUUCCACUGCUCCUGCCAACUACUUCCAGUGCUUCCAUCACACAAGCCUGCUUUUGCAAUUUCUAGCUCG